rnacentral:rRNA from 1 species
CUACGGGGUGCAGCAGUGAGGAAUAUUGCGCAAUGGGGGAAACCCUGACGCAGCGACGCCGCGUGGAUGAUGAAGGCCUUAGGGUCGUAAAAUCCUGUCAGGUGGGAAGAAGUGGAUAUAGAUUAAUACUCUAUUUCUUUGACGGUACCACCAGAGGAAGCACCGGCUAACUCCGUGCCAGCAGCCGCGGUAAUACGGGAGGGUGCAAACGUUGUUCGGAAUUACUGGGCGUAAAGCGCGCGUAGGCGGUUUGUUAAGUCGGAUGUGAAAGUCCAUGGCUCAACUAUGGAAGUGCAUUUGAAACUGGCAGACUUGAGUACUGGAGGGGGUGAUGGAAUUCCCGGUGUAGAGGUGAAAUUCGUAGAUAUCGGGAGGAAUACCGGUGGCGAAGGCGAUCACCUGGCCAGAUACUGACGCUGAGGUGCGAAAGCGUGGGGAGCAAACAGGAUUAGAUACCCGGGUAGUC